GACGGAGGGGGCAAGCGUUGUCCGGAAUCACUGGGCGUAAAGCGCACGUAGGCGGGACGGUGCGUCGGUGCUGAAAGCGCCAGGCUUAACCUGGCGAGGCGUGCCGAUACGACCGACCUCGAGGCAGACAGAGGGUGGCGGAAUUCCGGGUGUAGUGGUGAAAUGCGUAGAGAUCCGGAGGAACGCCGGUGGCGCAAGCGGCCACCUGGGUCUGACCUGACGCUGAGACGCGAAAGCGUGGGGAGCAAACAGG
rnacentral:rRNA from 1 species